GUCACUAUAGUUUAAAUUAAAACAUCGGUCUUGUAAACCGAAAUUAGAUUAUGUUUCUUCGUGAUA
rnacentral:tRNA from 1 species